rnacentral:rRNA from 1 species
UACGAAGGGUGCAAGCGUUACUCGGAAUUACUGGGCGUAAAGCGUGCGUAGUCGGUUAUUUAAGUCGGGCGUGAAAGCCCCGGGCUCAACCUGGGAAUUGCGUUCGAUACUGGAUAGCUAGAGUUCGGCAGAGGGAAGCGGAAUUUCGGGUGUAGCGGUGAAAUGCGUAGAUAUCCGAAGGAACAUCAGUGGCGAAAGCGGCUUCCUGGACCAGAACUGACGAUCAGGCACGAAAGCGUGGUGAGCAAACAGG